CUGCAGGUGCAGCGCUGUCUCUGUCUCCAGGAGUGGAGGAAGCUGAAUUGCAGCAGGAAGGGAUACCUCAGCUCCUUCUUUCCAUUACAGCCUUGAGACCUGCUCAACCAGCUGCCAUUAUACUGGAGGGUUCCAAGGAGUCACAAAAUUUGCUUUUUCCUUGCCUGACUUCUGAUAAGUAGGACUAGCUGGGGACACAAAAUAUGACUCUUUCCCCCUGCUCUGGUGUCCAAAAUACACAUGGGCUGAUGCACUGGGAGAAGUCAGGGAAUGCCCAGUGCCCACACGGGUGAAGUGAGAGCUGCCACAAGGCCAUCAGUGGAUGCACAGCUCCAGGACAGCCCGUGGUGCCUCCACUGAACCUGGCCAGGAGAGCAGAGGAAUGGGCCUGUUUGCCCAGUUAAACCACUGGCCACUCACUCCAGCCAUGCCUGUGGGAGGGAGAGCUCGUGAAGCCAUGGUGAGAGCUGCGGCUGGGAGCUGUUCCCGCAGGCAGAUGGGGACUGCACAUGGAGGAGGAGGCUCUAGAUGGUGCUGCUGUCCCGGGAAAGAAAAGCUGGGAUCUGUAUCCACCGAUAAUAGAAGCUCCAAUAAAGGCAGUGUAAAAUGAGCAAGUCAGAGGGACUGAGAAAACCAGGGCGGCUCAGAGCUGCGGGAGCACCUUGGCAGGCUGCUUCCUGGGAACAAGAAACAGGCCAGUUGUCAUCCUCCCCAAAUGUGGGCUGCAUCCCAGGACCCCUGGAGUCAGCAGAUCAGCAGCAGUGGAUGUUAGAGGGAGAAUGAAACCACAGCAGCUCUGCUGAAGCCCUUGAAAGGUGAGUAAAGUUCAUAGCCCUUCCACUUCCAGUAAGUCUGGAAUUUGGAUCUUGAUCCACAGAGGCACUUAGGUCCCUGACUCCCAGUGGUUUCCUUGCCAUGGUGCAGGUCAGGAGCUGAGUCCCUAAAUAACUGGUGGCUGUGAGCCCAGUCUCUCAGAUGUAUCUAACAUUACUUGUGUUAUUGUUGUGUAUUGAGAUCCUGACUGGAAUCUGGGCUCCUUGAAAUAGAGACAGAGACACACAGGCUGGGAUUUAGGUGGCCAAGUGUUGAAAUUUAUGGUGUGGGUGCCACAUCAGAGCUGUAGACAAUGGAAACAGUACAGAAAAUACAGUUCCUGUAGAGUGGGACAUCAUGAAGUAGUCACCUAAAGCUGAUCUUCUGAGAAAGUCUCUUUCUCUUCAUCGACUGCAAGGGAAGCUGGAGUUAAUCUAUAUUACUGGUAUCUAAAUGGAGGUAGGAGGUGUCCCAUUCAGAAUGGAAGGAAUUCCUUCUCCAAGGAGGCCAUGAUGUUGUAUAAUCAAGGCAGCUUGAGCUGGGCUGUGAAAAGCAGAGACAGUGGAUUUUAGACAAGGCCCAGCCAGCAGAGCCAGGAGUUGGCACAAGCUGUGACAGUCGAGGCUGUUAGCCACUCCUGAAAUCUUGGUCUGCCUGGUGUUCUCUCUGAUCCUCUUCUCUCUCUCCUCUUGCUCUCUGGCUCAGUUGUUUUGAUUAUGUGAAGGACAAACUCUUCUUUCUUGCAGCCUUUGCCCAAAAAUCUAGCAAGACACUUUAUUUCUGGCUUCCAACAUCUUUGGAGCAGAUCAACAAAUUUUAGAAACCUAAUUCUCCAGUGGUAGCAAAUAGGAACAUUUCACCUGACCUCAAAAAGUUUUAGAUCAGCUGGGGCUGAUCCAAGCAUCACAGAAGCAUUUUAUCUUCUGUGAUGUACUUCAGAGAAAGAUGGCAAACCAGGAAAAUGUUUGCUGAGUUUUGUUUUAUGGAUUAUAGGAGGCUUUUUGUUCAUUUCUGAGUUGUCUGGGGUAAACCCUAAAGCGUCAGUCUUUAGAUGUUCUGCUCAGAUGAUGUCAGAGCAGAUGGUGAGGGAAUAUUUUCACCUCAGCCUCUCCAUGUGCACUCAGGCAGCUCAGCUCCACAGGCCUGUGCCCAUUCCUGCAGUACACAUGCAAGAUAAUAGCACGUUCUCUUUUCUCACAUCAAAUGCUGGGUGUGUUUCCACCCCUUAGAUAAACUUUAUGGUGUUUCUGUUUCCCUUCUUCCCGUGGUACUGAUUAUCCCAGAAAUAGAUAGGCACUGGAAAACUGUGUUCUGGAUCUGAACUAUUUCUGCAUUGCAUCUGGCAUCGUGACUGGAUCCAUUUUCCCAUUUGGGAAUGUGAUAAUUCUCUAUUUGCCCUUGUGCCAAAUUUUCUGUCUUUAAAUAUUUUUCUUUUUUUUUUUCCCCUACAGGCAUGGAUUGAAUUUUUUGUCAUUUCAAGUGCUUUUUGUUCGAAUUUUUUUGUUUUCAUCUUCCAACUUGUGCAUCUUUCUGCUCCUCUUUUCUAUGAACUUCUGCUGUCUCCCACCCUGGUCUCACAACAGGGACUAACAGCUGAAGCUUCUGCAGUUAAAACACAGCAACAGUGGGGCUCUGUGUUCUGAAGGGAAAAGAAAGAAGACAAAGGCUAUCUUUAAGUUCAGCUUUGCCUGAAGAGAAGCUCAAAUCCUGGGUAAGAUGCUCACCUGUUGAUCAGACUGAGAUUUCAGCACUCUGCAGUUAUUCUGGAAGGAUGUGAAACUUCCCCAGGAGGAAUUUGAUACAGAAAACUUUGGUGUCCUUUUGGGAAGAGCAAUGCUUCAGUGCUGGGUUUUCUACCCAGUUGAGUGUGGGAUGGGGUUAGCUCAUGUCUGUGGAGAUGAUGGCAUAGAGGUUUCACUUUUAUUGUUUGUUUCAGGGAAGAUGUGUCUGUGGUUAGGACAGAGCCAAACACCAGACAAGACAAGACACAACCAAAAUGAGUGCCCAGUGGCCAGAAUGGGCUGGGAAUGGAGUGACCACAAAGGGGCAACACAAAGUGCCACCAGAGUCCUGGACUGCAGGGAUUUACUGUGCUUCCCUGUGCUUCCCACAGCCAUCACCAGAGCACCACACUGCCUCACUGCUCACCCAGACUCAGCCUAACAGUUCUGCACAUUUAUUUUGGAACUGGUUUCCCCAGUUUGGUAUUUCUCAGGGUUUCAAGCAAACUGGGAAAAAAAUGUUCAAGAUGCAAAAGAUGUGACACUGUCCAUGGGGAGGGGUCUCCUUGCUCCUUUCCAAUUUCUGCACAAAAGGAAUAUCAGAAAGAAAAGAGCUCCUGCCUGAGGCAGGGAGAGUGACCCCUCUGAACAGAUAACACCAUCACAAAUACACAGCCUGCAGUCUUUGGAACGGGCCAGGCUGCUCCACAUUUUCUUAUUGAGAUGUUUUCCUUCUCUAGAACAUAAACCAAAAAAAGAAGACCCUUUGCCACAUUCCCAAAUGAUCUACCAAAGCUCAGGAAACUGGAUCAAGAGGUGGAGGAUGCUGAGCUGUGUCUGCCACUGCUUUGGCACCAUAAAUGACCUGGAACCACAGCCUGCAAGUGUUUGGUGUGGGGCAGGGAAUCCCACAGGACUGUAGGGAAAUGACCCUAAUAGGAGUGAAAAGUAAUGAUUUGUUUUUUCAGGAUGGUGGUCCAGGGAUUUCUGGUGUGUGAGCUGGUGAAUCACCUAUGAGCUGAUAUUGACUUUUACGUUUACUUCACAUGGAAAGGUAAAUUCAGUCUCCAAGAACACUGCAGCUUUGGAGGCUCCAGCAUGAACUUGGGGCAUCUCCUGACAAGGGAGACAGGACCUUGCCCAUGAUUUGCAAAGCUCUUUCAGAUCCUUGAGAUGCAAUUAUUAUUUCAACACUAUUGUGAAAUCUCGAGGGUCGUGACUGAAGAAAUAAUUGGUUGUAUGGAAAUAAGGAUGAGUUAUUUCAGCAGAUGACAGGACUAUCCAGCACUAUAAUAAUAACAUUUUAAAGAAUGGAUAAACAACAGCUAUGGGAAAGACAUAAACUUUUAUAUUUCAGGGCAUAACUAUUGUGAGUCAGGAAGUAAUUCUCCUUUUAGGCCAUUUAUUCUGUAACUGGUGGCUGCAACUGGAGCUGGACACCCUCAGAAUCAAUAACCCAUGGCAGAGGCACCUCUGAUUGUUUGUUACUUCCAUGUUUUGCAAUUAAUUCAUUGGGAUAAACAAGCUUUUGUUGUCCUAUUGCAAAUUUGACCACCUCCCCACUCCUUGUAUUCCCAUACUUUAUAUUCUUCUUGGCACUAGCUGUGUGCUUUCAGUCAACAUGUUUUAGCUUUCCAAGACUGUAAGGCAUGACUUGGGGGCACAGUCACAUUUACAUCCCUUUGCAGAUGGCCUGUAUCUAGCACUGUCAGUCCUUGGGUUUUAUUUUUUCCUGUCUUUAUGCUGAGGGACAGACCCUGUUCAGUGGGUCUUUGUGAUUCUAAUCUUUUUCAUGCAGUUUGAGGAGCAAUGAACUUGAAAAACAAGAUCCCUUUUUCCUGGGAGAGAAGGCACCUGAAUUUAGGCCUGUCUUUGCCACCCACUAAGGAUGUGUGUGACAGUUUAGAGAGGCCUGAGAGCAGAGUGUUAGUGGUUGCUGUAAUGCCCUUUGUUGUUUCCAUAUAACUCCCAUUUCUGUGGGCACCAUCUGUUUGUUGGGAACUUUUUUUUUUGCCUCGUCAUUGCAGGCUUCAGGAAAUGCCAUCUUGCCAGGUGGCACCUCUGUUUGCUGCUGAUACAGCAGCUCCAGAAGCAGGUGCAGCCCGUGGGAUAAUGCAGCUUUGUGCCAGCCCAUUACAAGCCAUGGCCCAUUCAGGGAUUUGGAUGGGGUUAUUGCGUUAGCUCAGCUCCAUUUGGGAUGUGGGCAUUGCUUCUGAAGUGCCCCUGGCAGCUGACUUCUCACUUUGAUUUAUGCUAACCUUAGAGCUGCUGGUAAUUACAUGCAUGUUCUUGUAUUCAGGAGGCUUUUGCAGUCACCAAGGAGCAGGGACUUCUUCACGCAACACCAGGAGAAUGAAUUGUUCCUUUUGAUGGGCAUCUCAGACACUUUGGGGCACAUGAAAAGGCCUGCCUGUGUGUUCCUUCUUGUCAUGGAGGAAGGGCUGGUGGUGGAAGGAUUGAUAAUAACACUGCAGCUCUGAUCUCAAAGAGUUUCAGUACUAAUUUGCUGGUGUUUUGUCAGCCAAAAUACUGUGUGCAGAACAAUGGGUUUGCAUAGUGUGAUUCUGUGGCUCAUUAGCCUAGCUGGACGACUAGCUGGGAUUUGUUGUCUUCUUGACACCCCUUACAAACAGUGCAAGGGAAGGAGGGGCCAAUACACAUUUUUCCAUGGCACUUUAUUUACCUGAACUGAAUCCAAAGGGUCACAUCACAGAAAUGGUCAAAAAAUCUUUCUGUACUUGUGCCUCCUCUGUGAGUGCCCUGAAGAUAUCAUUUAGCUGGUGUUUUACACAGGAGAACUUGUUCUGAUCUGGGCAGGGACCACUAACAUUUCUGUCCAUUUCAUAUUUUAGAUCACAUUGCUUCAUGUAGAUUCUCAUUGAUGGUUUUCAUUUUCAUGCACUGCUGAAAAAGAUCAGAUGCAGUCAGAUGGCAGGAAGAGGAAUGGGAAGAGGAAUGGGAAGAGGA